rnacentral:rRNA from 1 species
GUAGGUGGCAAGCGUUGUCCGGAAUUAUUGGGCGUAAAGCGCGCGCAGGCGGUUCUUUAAGUCUGAUGUGAAAGCCCACGGCUCAACCGUGGAGGGUCAUUGGAAACUGGAGAACUUGAGUACAGAAGAGGAAAGCGGAAUUCCACGUGUAGCGGUGAAAUGCGUAGAGAUGUGGAGGAACACCAGUGGCGAAGGCGGCUUUCUGGUCUGUAACUGACGCUGAGGCGCGAAAGCGUGGGGAGCAAACAGGGAUUAGAUACCCUGGUAGUCACGCCGUAAACGAUGAGUGCUAAGUGUUAGGGGGGUUUCCGCCCCCUUAGUGCUGCAGCUAACGCAUUAAGCACUCCGCCUGGGGAGUACGGCCGCAAGGCUG